GUCCACGCUGUAAACGAUGGAUGCUAGUUGUGGCGGGAGUUGACCCCUGCCGUGACGCAGCUAACGCAAUAAGCAUCCCGCCUGGGAAGUACGGCCGCAAGGCUAAAACUCAAAGGAAUUGACGGGGGCCCCGCACAAGCGGUGGAGCAUGUGGUUUAAUUCGACGCAACGCGCAGAACCUUACCUGGUCUUGACAUCCACGGAAUCCUUCAGAGAUGAGGGAGUGCCCUUCGGGGAGCCGUGAGACAGGUGCUGCAUGGCUGUCGU
rnacentral:rRNA from 1 species